UACAGAGGUCUCAAGCGUUGUUCGGAUUCAUUGGGCGUAAAGGGUGCGUAGGUGGCGCGCUAAGUCAGGUGUGAAAUUUCGGAGCUUAACUCCGAAACUGCAUUUGAUACUGGCGUGCUUGAGGACUGGAGAGGAGACUGGAAUUCACGGUGUAGCAGUGAAAUGCGUAGAUAUCAGGAGGAACACCUGUGGCGAAAGCGGCGCACUGGACCACAACUGACGCUGAGGCGCGAAAGCUAGGGGAGCAAACAGG
rnacentral:rRNA from 1 species